UGAUUAACAUACAUACAGCCACAUUUCCGGAAAAGGAUUGUAGUUCGUGAUGUGGCAGCGUGAUCAGUAAGCGCCCAGUCACUAAGCCAAAAAACUAAAGUGUGAAAUCACCGUCACGAAACGAGGGCCCACACUGAAAGUAACGCCCGUGGAAGAGAUAUUCAUGUGAAAUCUAACACCGUAAAAUAGAAGCCUCACUCCCUAAUCGAUUAAUAGGAUCGCUGGACAAAUAUUACAGCCGUAAGGUAGUAACCACGUCCCUCCUCGUUUUCCACCAGUAGCGUCGGAAUCGACUAACUAAUGUCAGUGGGCCAUUAAUCAAAACCACAAGCUUCAUCGAUCCAUCUAACCGUACAUUGGAAGAAAAGGUCCAAUAAGAAGAUUCAUCUACAGGAAAGCCUUUCAACAGGAAGGCUUUUUUUAACGGGUUACGAACUCCCUUGUAUCCGACGGAAGGACGGCGUUAUCACCGAAAUGAUUGAACCAAUCGUUCCUUAACCACGUGCCGUCCGUGAUAAGCACCACGAUCCAGCAGCGACUCAAUUGUACCGUAUUGUCGCUCCACGUCGCACGAGCGAACGAACAAUUCCAGGCAUUCCGCAGGGACAAAUCGUCCGCAGAUCCAGCAUAUUGAGAAGCCGUUAAAGAGCACGUGUUGGACAUUUGAUGACGUUUGGUAAGGCAAGAGUGCAGGAAGCAAACCUUUGCGAUCGAAGAUCGCUUUCGAAUCUGGCAUGCUAGAGAGCAGCGCCCGCAUGCGCACAGUAACAACUGCGUAUCAGGAUCGCCCCGGAGAAUCGACGAGCAACGCGUGCGCUGGUAUUAGCGCGCCCUAAGCAACGGAGUCAAGAAGAAAGGAAGGCCCAAUGUUAAGGUGGUAGUUCUAAGAAUGGCAUAGGGAACAGUGUGAAUAAUAAUCAAGCAUGUAGACGAAA